rnacentral:rRNA from 1 species
ACUUCGGUCUGGUGGCGAGUGGCGAACGGGUGAGUAAUGUAUCGGAACGUGCCUAGUAGCGGGGGAUAACUACGCGAAAGCGUAGCUAAUACCGCAUACGCCCUACGGGGGAAAGCAGGGGAUCGCAAGACCUUGCACUAUUAGAGCGGCCGAUAUCGGAUUAGCUAGUUGGUGGGGUAACGGCUCACCAAGGCGACGAUCCGUAGCUGGUUUGAGAGGACGACCAGCCACACUGGGACUGAGACACGGCCCAGACUCCUACGGGAGGCAGCAGUGGGGAAUUUUGGACAAUGGGGGAAACCCUGAUCCAGCCAUCCCGCGUGUGCGAUGAAGGCCUUCGGGUUGUAAAGCACUUUUGGCAGGAAAGAAACGUCAUGGGUUAAUACCCCGUGAAACUGACGGUACCUGCAGAAUAAGCACCGGCUAACUACGUGCCAGCAGCCGCGGUAAUACGUAGGGUGCAAGCGUUAAUCGGAAUUACUGGGCGUAAAGCGUGCGCAGGCGGUUCGGAAAGAAAGAUGUGAAAUCCCAGAGCUCAACUUUGGAACUGCAUUUUUAACUACCGGGCUAGAGUGUGUCAGAGGGAGGUGGAAUUCCGCGUGUAGCAGUGAAAUGCGUAGAUAUGCGGAGGAACACCGAUGGCGAAGGCAGCCUCCUGGGAUAA